GGAGAUGUGGCCGAGUGGUCGAAGGCGCUCCCCUGCUAAGGGAGUAGGCGGGAAACCGUCUCGAGGGUUCGAAUCCCUUCGUCUCCG
rfam:Loktanella vestfoldensis strain SMR4r, complete genome.